rnacentral:misc_RNA from 1 species
GGUAACUCUAUCUCUAAUCUCUGUCCUCGAAGCGAUCAGGUUUUGUUUAUUUCUCCGGAUAUUAUUGUUGAAAUGCGUUUAAAUUCACCUACCACCACCAAAAUGCUUUGGCUGGAGACUGGAGGAGUGGAGGGGGCAUUUUGACCUGCGUAGAAAGGGGUUUUGGACAAGAACAGCUUCAGGACUAUAGUUAUUAGCUUGAUCCUUAGUAAUUCGAUACUUCUCGAAUGUCCAGUCCUUGCUUCUGGCUGUGGAAUCAUAGUUUAUUUGUCACUCAAUGCCCGAUUUAUCGCUACAACCACCAUUUGAGUAGUUUUGUAUUUGUUUUCAUGCUUGAACUUUUAUAUCUCACCUCAACUCUUGCGGCUGCAUAAAACAUAAUCUAUCUAUGAAGAAAACGGUUGUCCUGAAAUUUGAAGGAGUUUUGGCCAUCACUGUCCCUGUUUUUUUUUUUUCUUUUUAUU